rnacentral:rRNA from 1 species
UUUACCGGAGUACUAUGAAUAUUAAAAAUUUAAAACUCAAAGAACUUGGCGGUGUUUUAGACCACUCAGGGGAACCUGUCUCAUAAUCGAUAAUCCACGUUGUACCUGACCUUUUUUUGUAUUCAGUUUGUAUACCGUUGUCGUCAGGUAACUUUUUAGAAAUUAGAAGUUAGCAGCAGAAAUAAAAAUAAUUUAAUACGUCAAAUCAAGGUGCAGCUAAUGAAAAGGGGAGGAUGGGUUACAAUUAUAUAAUUUAUAAUAACGGAUAGGUAUAUGGAGUAUGUAUUAAUUAUAAGGCGGACUUGAAAGUAAAUUAGGUUAUAUAAAUAACUUGAAUGAGGCUCUGAAACGUGU